AUGUUGGUGGCGGGGAAGGCGAAGGCGAGCGGCGGCAAGCGGGGCGGGGCCAAGGACCCCGACGAGGCACCCCGGUCCGAUAAGAGGCGGCGCGACAUGGACGACUCCGACNNNNNNNNAGACAGUGACUUCAAGCAGAUCGUGACGAUGCUGCGCCACAUCAAGGACAAGGCUCACAAGGACGGCCAGAAGAAGACGGCCAUCUCCAGCGUUGCAACAGAGAUUCAAUCUAUGGUACAGAACACCAAGGCAAAGUUUGAGAAGGAAAGCAGGCAGACUGUUCUUAAAGCUCUAAUGAAGGCUUCCAAAGAGUGUGAAGGUUCAUUGAAGACCGAGUACACCAAGUUUCAAGCCACUCAUGACAAGUUCUGCAUAGACAAAGCUCCACACACACAGAAUUUCAAAGAUCUUUUCUCAAAGUUUGAGGUUGAAAAGGAGAAACUGAUAGUUCAAUAUGAACAGCAAACUAAGAAGGAGAAGACCUCUCUUUCUGAUGUUGAGAAAAGAGUUUCAGAGAAGCUAGCAGAUGCAGAAGAAUCAAGUUGAAGCAGGUCUGUUCAGGGCGACAAAUCCAUCAGCAAGCUUCACAAGUCCUUUGCCUCGUUCCUGGGCCCCGACGAGGAGGAGGACUGCUACGUCUCUUGCCAGAUGGCCUGUCUUUCAGAUCGAUGUGGAUAG
rnacentral:rRNA from 1 species